rnacentral:rRNA from 1 species
GACGAACGCUGGCGGCGUGCUUAACACAUGCAAGUCGAACGGUAAGGCCCCUUCGGGGGUACACGAGUGGCGAACGGGUGAGUAACACGUGGGUGAUCUGCCCUGCACUUCGGGAUAAGCCUGGGAAACUGGGUCUAAUACCGGAUAGGACCACGCUCUGCAUGGAGUGUGGUGGAAAGCUUUUGCGGUGUGGGAUGGGCCCGCGGCCUAUCAGCUUGUUGGUGGGGUGAUGGCCUACCAAGGCGACGACGGGUAGCCGGCCUGAGAGGGUGUCCGGCCACACUGGGACUGAGAUACGGCACAGACUCCUACGGGAGGCAGCAGUGGGGAAUAUUGCACAAUGGGCGCAAGCCUGAUGCAGCGACGCCGCGUGGGGGAUGACGGCCUUCGGGUUGUAAACCUCUUUCAGUACCGACGAAGCGAAAGUGACGGUAGGUACAGAAGAAGCACCGGCCAACUACGUG